GACGAACGCUGGCGGCGUGCCUAAUACAUGCAAGUAGAACGCUGAAGGAGGAGCUUGCUUCUCUGGAUGAGUUGCGAACGGGUGAGUAACGCGUAGGUAACCUGCCUGGUAGCGGGGGAUAACUAUUGGAAACGAUAGCUAAUACCGCAUAAGAGUAGAUGUCGCAUGACAUUUGCUUAAAAGGUGCAAUUGCAUCACUACCAGAUGGACCUGCGUUGUAUUAGCUAGUUGGUGAGGUAACGGCUCACCAAGGCAACGAUACAUAGCCGACCUGAGAGGGUGAUCGGCCACACUGGGACUGAGACACGGCCCAGACUCCUACGGGAGGCAGCAGUAGGGAAUCUUCGGCAAUGGACGGAAAGUCUGACCGAGCAAACGCCCGCGUGAGUGAAAGAAAGGUUUUUCGGAUUCGUAAAAGCUUCUGUUG
rnacentral:rRNA from 1 species